GCCAUUAAUUUCAGUGGGUCUUCCUUGAAUAAAACUUAGUUGAAUACCAUGUUUUGAUUUUUCCAGUCUUCUGCUAUGACAACAAGCUCCUGCUUAAAAUGGCUGGACUAUUCCCUGAAUGUUCCAGCUUCACUACUUAAAGUGUAUUAAAAUGUCAUUCACACAAGAAUUAAAAAGGCAGCAUCUCUUGAAAGGAUGGUGUUCAUAACAUCAAAGAGCUGCUCAAUGCGCUGGUCUUGCCGGAGAUCCUCUCCUCCCUUCACAAGAAAGGGAUAUUCCCGCUCAUCGCUACCUCUGAUAAUUAUACGCUUUGGUUUCCGGAUGGACUCCAUAACUUUUAUCUUGGACAAAAUGGGGUGGAGAAAGGUUUUCACUCAAGAAAGGCAAUGGAAGAAUAUUCUCCCGAUUACCAACUGAAACCAUAGCUUACCAGGAACUUCCAGCUCAGUCCUCAAGAAUUCUGGUUUGAAGUCACUCAUCCAAGUUGU